rnacentral:rRNA from 1 species
GACGAACGCUGGCGGCGUGCUUAACACAUGCAAGUCGAACGGAAAGGCCUGCUUUCCCUUGUGGAUUGCGGGUACUCGAGUGGCGAACGGGUGAGUAACACGUGAGUGAUCUGCCCCCAACUUGGGUAUAAGCCUGGGAAACUGGGUCUAAUUCCCGAUAGGACUGCAGGGUGGUGCCUGUGGUGGAAAACGAUUUUCUAGUGGUUGGGGAUGAGCUCGCGGCCUAUCAGCUUGUUGGUGGGGUAAUGGCCUACCAAGGCGGCGACGGGUAGCCGGCCUGAGAGGGUGGACGGCCACAUUUGGACUGAGAUACGGCCCAGACUCCUACGGGAGGCAGCAGUGGGGAAUAUUGCACAAUGGGCGGAAGCCUGAUGCAGCGACGCCGCGUGGGGGAUGACGGCCUUCGGGUUGUAAACUCCUUUCGACCGCGAGGAAGCCACCUGGUUGGAAGGGUGGUGACGGUAGUGGUAGAAGAAGCACCGGCUAACUACGUG